GUAGUAUUCCCUCGGUCCCAAAAUUCCUGUCUUACAUUUGUUUAGAUACAGAUGUAUCUAACACUAAAAUGUAACUAGAUACAUCCAUAUUUAGACAAAUUUAAGACAAGAAUUUUGGGAUGGAGGGAGUACAAA
rnacentral:pre_miRNA from 1 species